rnacentral:rRNA from 1 species
UACGAAGGGUGCAAGCGUUACUCGGAAUUACUGGGCGUAAAGCGUGCGUAGGUGGUUUGUUAAGUCUGAUGUGAAAGCCCUGGGCUCAACCUGGGAACGGCAUUGGAAACUGGCUUACUAGAGUGCGGUAGAGGGGUGUGGAAUUCCCGGUGUAGCAGUGAAAUGCGUAGAUAUCGGGAGGAACAUCUGUGGCGAAGGCGACACCCUGGACCAGCACUGACACUGGGGCACGAAAGCGUGGGGAGCAAACAGG